AAUGAACGCUAGCGGGAUGCCUUACACAUGCAAGUCGAACGGAGUGGCGAACGGGUGAGUAAUGUAUCGGAACGUGCCCAGUAGCGGGGGAUAACUAAGCGAAAGCGUAGCUAAUACCGCAUACUAUUGAAGCGGCCGAUAUCGGAUUAGAUAGUUGGGGUGGUAACGGCUCAACAAGGCGACGAACCGUAGCUGGUUUGAGAGGACGACCAGCCACACUGGUACUGUGACACGGCCCAGGCUCCUACGGGAGGCAGCAGUGGGGAAGUUUGGCCAAUGGGGGAAACCCUGAUCCAGCCAGCCCGCGUGUGCGAUGAAGGCCUUCGGGUUUUAAAGCAUUUUUGGCAGGAAAGCGGUACCUGCAGCAUAAGCACCGGCUAACUACGUGCCAGCAGCCGCGGUAAUUC
rnacentral:rRNA from 1 species